UCUGGUGGCCUAAUUGGUUAGAGCGUCCGCCUCGCAUGCGGGGGGUCGCCGGUUUUAACCCCGGCCGAGUCAU